rnacentral:lncRNA from 1 species
GAGAAACUCAUUAAUGCAAACGUGCACUUGAUUGUGAUUGUAUCACAACUCACCUCCAAAAGAGGUUGAAUAAUUUUGAAAUCUACUUCUGAAGUAGUAAAUCUAAAAUUUAUUCAUGUAAUAGUAAAUUUGAAAUUUACUAAAGAAAAAGUACAUGUCAUGGUAAACUUGGAGUUUACUAGAAUAAAAGUUCAUAAAUUGAUAUGAACGAUUGUGACAUCUCGAAGAUGUGCAUGUAUUGAAGAACUAGAAGAUUCUU